AAGCUAGAGAGCAAGCCAUCCAUGGACAUAAAUGAAAGUGCAGAAGCAUUCAUCAAGAAUUUCAGGAAGCAACUUUUGAUCCAGAGGCUUGAAUCCAUCGAGAAUUACGAGAAAAUGCUAGAAAGAGGUCUUUAACUUAACCCAUGCCUUAUUAUAUAUAUAUAUAGGUUGGAUUUGUUUCAUUGGCUGUGAACUUGUUAUCUCUCUUUGAUGACCAUAUAUAUAUGUGUAUGUUUGAGAGAUGAAACAUGUAUAAGAAUCGUGACAACAAUAAAAUAUACCUUAUCAUCAAUUGGGUUAAGUUAAAGACCUCUUUCUAGCA
rnacentral:misc_RNA from 1 species